GCGUCCGUAGUUUAGUUGGAUAGAGCGACGGAUUCCGGUUCCGUAGGUCGCAGGUUCGAGUCCUGCCGGGCGCGCCA
rnacentral:tRNA from 1 species